UACGUAGGGGGCAAGCGUUGUCCGGAUUUAUUGGGCGUAAAGAGCGUGUAGGCGGCUUGGCAAGUCCGCUGUGAAAACUUGAGGCUUAACCUCGAGACGUCGGUGGAAACUGCCUGGCUAGAGUCCGGAAGAGGAGAGUGGAAUUCCUGGUGUAGCGGUGAAAUGCGCAGAUAUCAGGAAGAACACCCAUGGCUAAGGCGGCUCUCUAGUACGGUACUGACGCUGAGACGCGAAAGCGUGGGGAGCGAACAGG
rnacentral:rRNA from 1 species